rnacentral:tRNA from 1 species
GGGGCUGUAGCUCAGUUGGUAGAGCGCCGCGUUCGCAAUGCGGAGGCCAGGGGUUCGAUCCCCCUCAGCUCCACCA